ensembl:lncRNA
AGAAAACUGAAAGUUUUGGGACACAAAACUGCAAGAGAGGUCCUGUUUCAAGGGAGAACAGAAACAAGUGGGCUUCCUGUCUCAGAAGACCAAUGUGAAGUGACAUGUUGAGGCAGUACUGGCAUUUCUAUCAUCACCAUUACCAGGGCUUGAGUUUAAGUAGGACAAAGAAGAUGGGAAAGGAGAUUUCUUCAGCUGCAAGAAGAGGAAACAGUAUCCUGGGCUGCAUUCAACAUAACUUUGCCAGGAGGUUGAUGAAGGUCAACCUCUACUCAGCACUGUUCCUGUAUUUCAGAAACCCUAAAAGGAUUUGGGAGAACCUCUGUAUGCUAUAUACACACACAGUAUUUUAUUCUGUGUGUUACAUGGUGAAGUUGUUGAAAUAAGAAGGCUAAUAUCACACAGCUAUGGAAAGAUGGGUGGGAAUCCUAAUUCUUAAUUUGGAGGUAAAGAAGAAUGGGACUUGGAUAGAAACACCCUGCUUGGUUGUUCACUGCAAGCAAGUCAAAGACAGAAUACAUCUGCAGAAGUGGUUGCAUAUGGAUAAACAAAAUGCAUAGCCUUACCCUCUGUGUGAUUUUCUCUGACCUCAGCCAAGCAACAGUGC